AUUGAACGCUGGCGGCAUGCCUUACACAUGCAAGUCGAACGGCAGCACGGAGCUUGCUCUGGUGGCGAGUGGCGAACGGGUGAGUAAUAUAUCGGAACGUACCCAAGAGUGGGGGAUAACGUAGCGAAAGUUACGCUAAUACCGCAUACGAUCUAAGGAUGAAAGUGGGGACUCGCAAGACCUCAUGCUCCUGGAGCGGCCGAUAUCUGAUUAGCUAGUUGGUGAGGUAAAGGCUCACCAAGGCAUCGAUCAGUAGCUGGUCUGAGAGGACGACCAGCCACACUGGAACUGAGACACGGUCCAGACUCCUACGGGAGGCAGCAGUGGGGAAUUGUGGACAAUGGGGGCAACCCUGAUCCAGCAAUGCCGCGUGAGUGAAGAAGGCCUUCGGGUUGUAAAGCUCUUUUGUCAGGGAAGAAACGGUGAAGGCUAAUAUCCUUUGCUAAUGACGGUACCUGAAGAAUAAGCACCGGCUAACUACGUGCCAGCAGCCGCAGUAACAC
rnacentral:rRNA from 1 species